GAAGCUUGGGACCUUGCUCUCUUUUAUCAGCCUGGGGCGUGUUACCUGGCUGAACAUGGAAUCCCUCACCAAGGCGACGAUCCGUAACUGGUCUGAGAGGAUGAUCAGUCACACUGGAACUGAGACACGGUCCAGACUCCUACGGGAGGCAGCAGUGGGGAAUAUUGGACAAUGGGCGAAAGCCUGAUCCAGCCAUGCCGCGUGUGUGAAGAAGGUCUUCGGAUUGUAAAGCACUUUAAGUUGGGAGGAAGGGCAGUACGUUAAUACCUUGCUGUUUUGACGUUACCGACAGAAUAAGCACCGGCUAACUCUGUGCCAGCGGCCGCGGUAAUACAGAGGGUGCAAGCGUUAAUCGGAAUUACUGGGCGUAAAGCGCGCGUAGGUGGUUUGUUAAGUUGCAUGUGAAAGCCCUGUGCUCAACCUGUUAACUGCAUCCAAAACUGGCAAGCUAGAGUACGGUAGAGGGUGGCGGAAUUUCCUGUGUAGCGUUGAAAUGCGUAGAUAUAGGAAGGAACACCAGUGCCAAAGGCGA
rnacentral:rRNA from 2 species